rnacentral:lncRNA from 1 species
ACGAAUCUUUUGAGCCUAAUUAGUCAAUAUUUGGACAAUAAUUCACAAAUACAAACGAAACGCUACAGUGUGCUACAGUGCUGUAACAGUAAUUUAGCACCCCCAAAUUCGCCAAACUAAACACGGCCUAACCGGCGAUCCCAAUCCUCUGGCUGCCGAGAGCCAUGCAUGUCACCAUCAGGAGUUCAGGACUCGGGGCAAAGGAGACGGAAACGGUUUGAUGAUGCGGAGUGUGAAAAGGGCUUUGCAGAAAGGAGCUUUCCGUUUGCACAGCAGCACAGGACCGUCGUGAUCAGGGAUUCAGGGACAGGGUCAGGUCUCAUGGUCAUGGACGUGGGGGUUCUGUGACACUUGAUCGUCGUGUCCGAACUCGUUGUCUUAUAGGAUCACUGUACGUCUGUACCUUUACCUUGCAAUUGACACGCAAUCCAAGCUUGCUAUAUACCCCGUCGCAGAUCGAGUUCGCUCCAGUUUUCCACGUCAACGGCACGUCGAUCGUACAUGGCCGCUAGCAGAGCGGAAGGCGCCGAGCAGGUUCUCGCUCGAAGCUUUCCCAUGAACCUCUAGCAUACGCCCGUGC